rnacentral:rRNA from 1 species
ACGGGGGGUGCUAGCGUUAUUCGGAAUCAUUGGGCGUAAAGGGCGCGUAGGCGGUCUUUUAAGUCAGAUGUGAAAGCCCUCGGCUUAACUGAGGAAGUGCAUUUGAUACUAAAAGACUUGAGUAUGGGAGAGGGAAGCGGAAUUCCUGGUGUAGCGGUGAAAUGCGUAGAUAUCAGGAGGAACACCGGUGGCGAAGGCGGCUUCCUGGACCAAUACUGACGCUGAGGCGCGAAGGCGUGGGGAGCAAACAG